CCUACGGGUGGCAGCAGUGAGGAAUAUUGGUCAAUGGGAGGAAUCCUGAACCAGCCAUGCCGCGUGCAGGACGACGGCUCUACGAGUUGUAAACUGCUUUUGUACCGGGGUAAAAUGCUCUACGAGUAGGGUUUUGAAAGUACGGUACGAAUAAGGAUCGGCUAACUCCGUGCCAGCAGCCGCGGUAAUACGGAGGAUGCGAGCGUUAUCCGGAUUUAUUGGGUUUAAAGGGUGCGUAGGCGGUCCGUUAAGUCAGCGGUAAAAUUGCGGGGCUCAACCCCGUCGAGCCGUUGAAACUGGCAGACUUGAGUUGGCGAGAAGUACGCGGAAUGCGCGGUGUAGCGGUGAAAUGCAUAGAUAUCGCGCAGAACUCCGAUUGCGAAGGCAGCGUACCGGCGCCAGACUGACGCUGAGGCACGAAAGCGUGGGGAUCGAACAGGAUUAGAUACCCGAGUAGUC
rnacentral:rRNA from 1 species